rnacentral:rRNA from 1 species
UAUUAUGGAGAGUUUGAUCCUGGCUCAGGACGAACGCUGGCGGCAUGCCUAAUACAUGCAAGUCGAGCGAACUGUUGGAAGCUUGCUUCCUUCAGUUAGCGGCGGACGGG